AACAAACGCUGGCGGCGUGCCUAACACAUGCAAGUCGUACGAGAAAGUCGGCUUCGGCCGAUGAGUACAGUGGCGCACGGGUGAGUAGCGCGUGGGUGAUCUGCCCCCCGGUCAGGAAUAACCCGCCGAAAGGCGGGCUAAUACCCGAUAACACUGACGCUCUGCGGAGUGUCUUUCAAAGCAGGCCUCUGUUUACAAGCUUUCGCCGGAGGAUGAGCCCGCGUACCAUUAGCUAGUUGGCAGGGUAAUGGCCUACCAAGGCAACGAUGGUUAGCUGGUCUGAGAGGAUGGCCAGCCACACUGGAACUGAGACACGGUCCAGACUCCUACGGGAGGCAGCAGUGGGGAAUCUUGCGCAAUGGGGGAAACCCUGACGCAGCAAUGCCGCGUGAGUGAAGAAGGCUUUCGGGUCGUAAAGCUCUGUCAGAUGGGAAGAAAUGGAUGGGGGCUAAUAUCGUCCAUCCUUGACGGUACCAUCAGAGGAAGCACCGGCUAACUCCGUGCCAGCCGCCGCAGUAAGAC
rnacentral:rRNA from 1 species